CCUACGGGUGGCAGCAGUGAGGAAUAUUGGUCAAUGGGCGCGAGCCUGAACCAGCCAAGUAGCGUGAAGGAUGACUGCCCUACGGGUUGUAAACUUCUUUUAUCAAGGAAUAAAGUGAGGCACGCGUGCCUUCUUGUGUGUACUUUAUGAAUAAGGAUCGGCUAACUCCGUGCCAGCAGCCGCGGUAAUACGGAGGAUCCGAGCGUUAUCCGGAUUUAUUGGGUUUAAAGGGAGCGUAGGUGGGUUGUUAAGUCAGUUGUGAAAGUUUGCGGCUCAACCGUAAACUUGCAGUUGAUACUGGCAGCCUUGAGUACGGUUGAGGUAGGCGGAAUUCGUGGUGUAGCGGUGAAAUGCUUAGAUAUCACGAAGAACUCCGAUUGCGAAGGCAGCUUACUAACCUCCCACUGACAUUGAUGCUCGAAAGUGUGGGUAUCGAACAGGAUUAGAUACCCCAGUAGUC
rnacentral:rRNA from 1 species